ACUUGCACAAUUGGUGGCUGACUAAAUACUUUUUUGCCCCACUGUAUAUGGUUCCAGGGGUACCUAAGGUGAGGCUCUAUCUCCAAUUAUAAACUGGGUGGUUUGAGCCCUGAAUGCUGAUUGUCUGAAGGCCGUGAUAUAUCAGACCGUAUACCACAGGUAUUGUCUCCUCCCAAAAUACUUUUAUCCUCCAUCUAUGUUGAUUCUUUGAAAAUGGACACUGAAGGAAAAACAUGGACAAACCCUGCGACAGUAGAUGGGAGCAGUGGAAGAGGCCGUGGCUCAGAGCUUGACUCAUCGUCUUCCCUGGUCAUGCCCACACAUGUUCCAUAAGCCCGGAGCCUAGUAAUGUGCAGAUCAUUAGCCAUCUUCAAGAGGCCCUGAGCAAAGUCUUUCCCAGCCUUGUUCCUUUGGAUGGGAAUCCUCAGUCAUUGCUCUUAGCCCCUCCUAUGACAGAUGAUG